rnacentral:rRNA from 1 species
GACGAACCGUGCGAACGUUAUUCGGAAUCAUUGGGCUUAAAGGGCGCGUAGGCGGCGGUGUAAGUUGGAAGUGAAAUCCCAUCGGCUCAACCGUGGGCGGGCAGCUGAUACGGGCAGGCUGGAGUUCGGUAGGGGAGACUGGAAUUCCUGGUGUAGCGGUGAAAUGCGCAGAUAUCAGGAAGAACACCCGUGGCGAAGGCGGCUCUCUGGGACGGUACUGACGCUGAGACGCGAAAGCGUGGGGAGCGAACAGG